rnacentral:rRNA from 1 species
AACGGAUAUCUCGGCUCUCGCAUCGAUGAAGAACGUAGCGAAAUGCGAUACUUGGUGUGAAUUGCAGAAUCCCGUGAACCAUCGAGUCUUUGAACGCGAGUUGCGCCCAAAGCCAUUAGGCCGAGGGCACGUCUGCCUGGGCGUCACACA